rnacentral:rRNA from 1 species
AACGAACGCUGGCAGCAGGCCUAACACAUGCAAGUCGAACGCCCUAGCAAUAGGGAGUGGCAGACGGGUGAGUAACACGUGGGAACGUGCCCUUCGGUUCGGAAUAACUCAGGGAAACUUGAGCUAAUACCGGAUAAGUGCGAGAGCAGAAAGAUUAUUUGCCGAAGGAUCGGCCCGCGUCCGAUUAGCUAGUUGGUGAGGUAAUGGCUCACCAAGGCGACGAUCGGUAGCUGGUCUGAGAGGAUGACCAGCCACACUGGGACUGAGACACGGCCCAGACUCCUACGGGAGGCGGCAGUGGGGAAUAUUGGACAAUGGGCGCAAGCCUGAUCCAGCCAUGCCGCGUGAGUGAUGAAGGCCCUAGGGUUGUAAAGCUCUUUCGCCAGGGACGAUAAUGACGGUACCUGGAUAAGAAGCCCCGGCUAACUUCGUGCCAGCCGCCGCCGUGA